GUUUACUCAAACUCAGGUCAAUUGAGUCGAUGAUUCUAUCCAAACACCUCAUCCUCUGUUGUCCCCUUCUCCUCCCGCCCUCAGUCUUUCCCAGCAUCAGGGUCUUUUCCAAUGAGUCAGUUUUUUGCAUCAGGUGGCCAAAGUAUUAGAGUUACAGCUUCAGCAUCAGUCUUCCCAGUGAAUAUUCAGGACUGAUUUCCUUUAGGAUGGACUGGUUGGAUCUCCUUGCAAGUCCAAGGGACUCUCAAGAGUCUUCUCCAACACCACAGUUCAAAAGCAUCUAUUCUUCGGUGCUCAGCUUUCUUUAUUGUCCAACUCUCACAUCCAUACAUGACUACUGGAAAAACCCUACCUUAGUGGUACUGAAAUAUUGUUCUUUCAUUUCAUGCCUAGGAAAGAGUGUCCCCCACAUCUCUCCUUUUGGAUGUGCCAGAGAAGCCUGCAACCCCACUGCUUCUAACAGCCUUCUUGUGACUAAGGUAAAGAGUUUCAAACCUACUUAUCAAAUGGGAAGUAGAAGACUUUACUUAUUGUUGGCUAAAGGAAAUGAAAACCGUGUACACAGUUAUGAUGCUAUCUCUGUAUCCUUUUUGAUUUAGUGUUUAUCACAUUCCUAUGAAGUAAGGAUGAUUUAUUCCCAUUUUCUUGAUGAGAAAACUGAAACCUAAGAGAAUUAGAUCAUUUGUCCACACUGAUUCCUGCUGACUCCAAAUCUUGUGCUUGCUCCAUAGUCCCAGAUGGCCUCCACUCCCCUAAGCAUCCGUGACUGAGGCCCUGAAGCCAGGUUGGCUGUGACCCUUAUCUUCCUGGAGGACACAGGGGACUACCUAAGAUGGAGAUCACGUUUGGAGGAUGACUUUCGAAGAAUUCGCUUUCUCUCACAUUUCCUAUUUAUUUAGAAACAGUGUCUUGUGGGUCCCUAGUUAGAAAACACAGAUCAGAGAAUUUAGUUAAGUAGUAUUUACACUGAUUUUUUACAUUAUAUUUGGUAAAUAUUUGGUAGAUAUUUCUCCAGCAGUUUAUUCUUCAUUUUUUGUGAGAUUAUAAAUAGAUUUAAGUAUUAGUAAAGGGCUUCCCUGGUAGCUCAGUUGGUAAAGAACCCGCCUGCAAUGCAGGAGACCCUGGGUUUGAUUCCUGGGUCAGGAAAUAUCCUCUGGAGAAGGGAACAACUACCCACUGCAGUAUUCUGGCCUGGAGAAUUCAGUCCAUGGGGUCACAGAGAGUUGGACAUUUUAAUUAAUAUUAAAAUGCAAUCAUUGCUAUUUCUUAAUCUGUCAAACCAUGUGUUUUCAGAUAGAGAUUAUUGAAUUAUGGGAGCAUUUCAUCACUGGAUUAAGCAAUUUGAGAACACUUUCCAAGUGACAGUAUUGUUGGAAAAGUAAAGGAGACAAUGGGGAAAAAUAAAGAAGAGAAACUAAGCAAAGAAAAACAACCAAGGGUGGUAGCACGUAGCUUCUACACUGAGAAAUCCAUCUGAUUUUAGGCAAUAUGUUAGAAACAAAGCCUCCUCAAUUUAUGGCUUUAACCCCAGACUAAUCUGUAGCUUUGCUCGUACUCUCUUCUUGAUCUUAGAAAAUACAUGUUUCAAAAAUGCACCAAAAUGAUUCUGUAUAGCAAAAUCAUUGCUCAGGAAAACCUUCAGAAUGAAAUUAGUUUAUCUCUGUUAAAAUAUUUUGUGCUUCAUUUCCUUUAUAUAUCGCCAGGUGAUCAUUUAUUUGUUUCUGGAAUAAUCAUUUUCAAGGAAAGGUGGCACUUAAGGUAAAAAUGAAAUAUGUGAAAUUGGAAAUUACCCACAUGCCCAGUAACAUUGGAAUGGAUCAAUGUGUUUUGCUUAUACAGUGGAAUACCACAUAGCAAGUAGAAUGGAGCUCUAUAUCUACCUCCACCUAAAGGAGUGAAUCUCACAAUAGUAUGGUGAGCAAACAAAGCCAGACACUAGUGAGUCCACAGUGCAUAAUUGUGUAUGCUCCACAGUUCCAUUUUUACAAAGGCCAAAAGUUGGCAGAAUUAAUCUACACUGUAUUUUUCCAAGUCAGCGUAUGAAUUUCCCUGGGAAGGAAACGGCAACUAGGAGGAGGCACAAGAGGAGUUUCUGGACACUGCUAAUAUUCUGAUCUUUGGUUGGGGUGCUUAAUAUUAUAGGUGUGAUGGAUCUGUGAUAAUCCACUGAGCUAGGCAGUCAAAUUUUGUGCAUAUUUCUAUGUCUUUGGUUCUUCAAUUAGGUUCACUAAUAGUCCAAUCUAAAUUAGGCUCCUCUGUCCAUGGAAUUUUCCAGGUAAGAAUACUGGAAUGGGCUGCCAUUUCCUUCUCCAGAUUUAAAUAAAACAAGCCACUAUACACAUAACAAAAUUAAUGAUGGGAAGUUUAGGUAUCAAUAAGUCUUUUGAAAUUAGAUUAUCAUGAAGAUAAGAAUUAUUUUAUUUUAUUGAUUUUUACAGUGCAUUUAUUUUCAAAUUAUGUCAUCUUUAAAAUUAAAAUUUAUGUAAUGAUUUGUGCUAUCUUAUUAUAAUUAGCAGUGAUUUCUCUUAAUUGUAAAUGGUGUCUAGCUAAUGAUGUACUAGAUCUGAUGAAAUAUAGUAUUAAAAACAGUUACAUGAAAUAAGUAAAUGCCAAAAGGACAUAUUGUUACUUGUACAGAUGAAUUCACUGCUUUUAACUUAAAAAUACUACAGGAAAGUUUUAUAGCAUCUUAUAACAUUUUCACAAAAUUUGAUUGCAGGACUCAGUGUAAUUAAACCCC
rnacentral:lncRNA from 1 species